rnacentral:tRNA from 1 species
GCGGAUGUGGCGGAACUGGCAGACGCGCUGGCCUUAGGAGCCAGUGGUUUUACCGUGGGGGUUCGAGUCCCUCCAUCCGCACCA